rnacentral:rRNA from 1 species
AACGCGAAGAACCUUACCGGGGUUUGAACCGUACGGGACAGCUGCAGAGAUGUAGUUUUCCUUCGGGACCCGUAUAGAGGUGCUGCAUGGCUGUCGUCAGCUCGUGUCGUGAGAUGUUGGGUUAAGUCCCGCAACGAGCGCAACCCUUGCCUCCUGUUGCCAACAGGUAAAGCUGGGCACUCUGGAGAGACUGCCGGUGAUAAACCGGAGGAAGGUGGGGAUGACGUCAAGUCCUCAUGGCCUUUAUGCCCCGGGCUACACACGUGCUACAAUGGCUGGUACAAAGGGUCGCAAAACCGCGAGGUGGAGCUAAUCCCAAAAAACCAGUCCCAGUUCGGAUUGGAGUCUGCAACUCGACUCCAUGAAGUUGGAAUCGCUAGUAAUCGCGGAUCAGCACGCCGCGGUGAAUACGUUCCCGGGCCUUGUACACACCGCUCGUC